rnacentral:lncRNA from 1 species
CUUGAGCAUCUCCAUAUGAAACAAUUAAUGGAACAGAAAGGCAGUGAGAAGAAAUCCACCAAGGACUUCUGAGAAGUGAAGCUGCAGUCCUGCAAGGUGUGCCUAUUAAUGCCACAGGAGAGGGGCAAUAAUUAAAAAUGUGUUUUUCAGGACCACCGGCUGAACUAACAUGAACAGAGAUGCACAUGUGGUAAAGCAUCCUUCCUCCCACUCCAUCAGGCUGUACAUCAGUUAAGAUUUAUCACUGCUGAUGACAGAUACCUGACCUCACAUAACUCUUUAAGCACAGAGUUUUGUUGUAACAGUUGUAGUUAAAUAAAGUGUUAUUUCUCUUAAGCCUUAAAUAAAAGAACAGUGGAAAACAGUGGGAAGAAAUAAGCUUCACCCCUCAUACUGACCUGUUCAAGCGACUUGCCAGCCCACCCAAUGGCCUUCAUCUUUCUCCUUAUCUCCCAUUGCUUCUGAUAGGACAAAAUGCGGUUAAGAGGCCAGGGGUAAGGGGAGCCAUACCUCGGGUGAGUAAUCUUUGGUAAGAAACAGAAAGUGACUUUGUUAUCAUAUAAACAAUGCAGACAGCUCUAUUUACAAAACAGCUAGUAGUCUCAUCUUUCUAUCACUGAGAGCAAUAAAGAGAAAGAAUGUUGUGUGAUAUGCUGCAAUUAUUUGUGCAGAAUUUAUUGUUUUCAGUAGAACCAUUUAAAAUUACUACCUUGGAAACAUAUGCAAAACUCCUAUUUGUUCCACAGUCACAUACCUCCAGUCAAGUUACAACUUCCCUAAAAUGUAUAUGCAAGCAGAAUGCAAGUGAAAAGACUGUAUCAUUAAUGGUACAGAGCUCAAUGUUUCAUUUAUGAGUAGGGACUUCCAUUUGUGAGCAAAAGUGUUUUCUCAUUAAAUUUUAAUUAAGAUAAAUGUUGCAGAACCACUCACCUCCUCUACUGUAACAUCAUCACACCAUUGCAGAUAGAGCUAGGAACAGAAAGAACACUUACUACAACUUCCUAAUAAACGAGAAUACAGAUACAAUCAUUUCUCACUAGUAGAAUUUUCCUUUCUAUAUUAGAUUAAAUUUCCAUUUAGUGCCUUCUAUUAGACUUCUGAACAUAGUAAAGAAAUUAAAACUAGAGUCACAAGCCCAGCUCCAAGUUGCUGGCUCACAAGCAGCACAACCAGGCUGGAGCCGAAGGCCCGCUCCAGUUGCCUGUGCCACACACAGCUCAACACACAGGUUCCCAGCCCUCAGCCGUGUGCCUGGGGUUGCUCGUGCCUGCGAGCAUUUCCAGCACCGGCACCACGUCACAUUAACGGCUCAUGGGCACGACCCGCGGGGCAGGCCAGCCUCCAGCAAGGCACAGGAGCGUGCAUGGAAGGCGACAGUGGGGCUGUACAGCAGGCUAUGGGUUGAGGCAGGAACCCAAGGACUGCUGGCGUUUUCCAUGCACGCAAAUCAGGCAUUUCUACAGCUACGGGGCAUGCUUCAGACAGGUGAGGGGAGCUGUACACGUGGCUUGUGUCUGCAGGAAUAUUUCAUCAAGUAGUCCUCAGGAUCCAGAGAAUUUAUUCCCGUCUCAUUUCACCUUAAAAACCGAUGACCUGAUUUAAGAUUUAAUCUAAGAACAAACACUAUUUCCAGAACGAGAAAAUAUCAUGAAGCAUUCUUGCCUACAAUCGCUUAUGGAAGUAUGUGCAGUUACUAUGGUUUGCUGUACCUCCGCUGUCAGGAGCAUAUUAUUGACUAAUUCCAUGUAGGCUUUCAUCUCAGCUUUUUGGACUUCAUCCAACCCAUCGCUGAGAGAAUGGCCCUAAUGGGGAAAGAAAGAGACACAUAAGAGAGGAUAUUGGAAUAUUCAGCAAUGCCUGACCCAAGGACCUCAGAAGUCAACGUGCUUUGGCUCAGAUACUGAUCUGUCACACAGCACGUAACAAGUUGUGUGUGUACUUUCUGCAUAAAGCAUCCUUUAGAAUGAAAAAGAAAUCAUCAUAAUGUAACAGAAGUGAUCUGCAAUAAAUGUGGGUUGUUAGCAGUUACAGGUGAGCACACAACCUGUGUCAAGAAGUAAACACAGAUUUACAUCUGUGCUGCAGCUUUAUGAAGUGCUCACUGAGAAGACAAUGUUGUUGAAAAUACAGCUUCAAAAUUUACACCAGUAAUUUCUGGGUUUAAGAAUUCUCAGACAGAGAUGUAGAAAACCAGCUGCAGAAAUUGGCAGUGGUAUGCACGUGUCCUGCAUGGGAUUUGCUUCCUGAAUUUGAGGUAAUGCCAAAGUGAAACAUUUCCACCUCAGCGCUCUCACUUCAGAGUAUCUUUCUCUUGAACCAGCACGAGAUUGCUGCACUGUUUCAAACAGUAACGUUCCAGAAGAGCACAGCAGCUCCACAGCAGUCUGAGGAAGACUGGUACGCAACCCAGCAACAGACGCAGACCCUGUGUGAUUACCUUGGCUUUCACAAACUGGACUAUGGGCCCGAGUUCAGAUACUACUUGGUUUCCCACAUGAAUAAAGGGCACUUUGCCUGUAAAAUGAGAAAUGUAUUUUAGUAGGAGCUUUUUAUACAUGUCAACCAUCAUUUCAUAUUUUCAAAGCAAU